AUAAAAGAAAGUCAUAUGGGUUUGCAACAACAUCAGGCCUGCUGCUCUGCUCUGCCAUUAAUCUCCAGCCUGCUUUGUCUUCAGCCCUCAUCCCUGUACUUUGGAUGUUAGCAUCCUGCACAGCUGUGAGACCGCACUCAUGGUUUACUCUAGUGUUUACACCACUUCAGCCCUCUUCCCAGCCUCACCUGCUCCCUGUUCUCUGGCCAAGCCUCAAUCUGACCUCCUAACAGAGAGAGGGAGGUCUGUCUCUUCAUCUUAAUAAUGGAUGUUAAACUGAUGGAGGUGAUUAAGGGUGUUGGAAUGUUAAAGUGUUCAGUUCCCCUUGGGCCUCCAUCUAC